rnacentral:rRNA from 1 species
UACGUAGGGUGCAAGCGUUGUCCGGAAUUAUUGGGCGUAAAGAGCUCGUAGGCGGUCUGUCGCGUCUGCUGUGAAAACUCGGGGCUUAACCCCGGGCCUGCAGUGGGUACGGGCAGACUAGAGUGCGGUAGGGGAGACUGGAAUUCCUGGUGUAGCGGUGAAAUGCGCAGAUAUCAGGAGGAACACCGGUGGCGAAGGCGGGUCUCUGGGCCGUAACUGACGCUGAGGAGCGAAAGCACGGGUAGCGAACAGG